rnacentral:rRNA from 1 species
GUGAGGAAUAUUGCGCAAUGGAGGCAACUCUGACGCAGCCAUGCCGCGUGCAGGAAGAAGGCGCUACGCGUUGUAAACUGCUUUUAACCGGGAAGAAACCCCAGGACGUGUCCUGGGUUUACGGUACCGGAGGAAUAAGCACCGGCUAACUUCGUGCCAGCAGCCGCGGUACUACGAAGGGUGCAAGCGUUAUCCGGAUUCAUUGGGUGUAAAGGGUGCGUAGGCGGAGCGUUAAGUCAGUGGUGAAAUCCUGCAGCUUAACUGUAGACUUGCCAUUGAUACUGGCGCGCUUGAGUGCGCUUGAAGUGGGCGGAAUGUGCCGUGUAGCGGUGAAAUGCUUAGAUAUGGCACAGAACACCAAUUGCGAAGGCAGCUCACUAAGGCGAUACUGACGCUGAGGCACGAAAGCGUGGGGAUCGAACAGGAUUAGAUACCCGAGUAGUCC